rnacentral:rRNA from 1 species
CAGUCGCCACGGUAAUACGAAGGGGGCUAGCGUUGCUCGGAAUUACUGGGCGUAAAGGGAGCGUAGGCGGAUCGUUAAGUUGGGGGUGAAGGCCCGGGGCUCAACCUCGGAACUGCCUUCAAUACUGGCGAUCUUGAGUAUGAGAGAGGUGUGUGGAACUCCGAGUGUAGAGGUGAAAUUCGUAGAUAUUCGGAAGAACACCAGUGGCGAAGGCGACACACUGGCUCAUUACUGACGCUGAUGCACGAAAGCUGGGGGAGCAAACAGGAUUAGAUACCCCGGUAGUCCCUGUCUCUUAUAC